rnacentral:rRNA from 1 species
GCUCAGAAUGUACUAUUAGCGGGAUGCUACCCAUCAUAGAGUUGGGAGCGUGCUCAGAACGAACGCUGGCGACAGGCUUAACACAUGCAAGUCGAGCGCCACGCAAGGGGAGCGGCAGACGAGUGAGUAACGCGUGGGAACGUACCUUCUGCUACGGAAUGACUCAGGGCAACUUGUGGUAAUACCGUAUGUGACCGUAGGGGGCAAGAUUUAUCGACAUAGGAUCGGCCCGCGUUGCUCAACCUAGUUGGUGAGGUAAAGGCUCAUCAAGGCGACGAUCCAUACAUGGUGUGAGAGGAUGAUCACCCACUCUGGGAGUGAGACACGGCCCAGACUCCUACGGGAGGCAGCAGUGGGGAAUAUUGGCCAAUGGGCGCAAGCAUGAUCCAGCCAUGCCGCGUGAGUGAUGAAGGCCCUAGGGUUGUAAAGCUCUUUCACCGGUGAAGAUAAUGACGGUACCCGGAGAAGAAGCACCGGCUAACUUCGUGCCAGCAGCCGCGGUAAUACGAAGGGGGCAAGCGUUAAUCGGAUUUACUGGGCGUAAAGCGCACGUAGGCGGAUUUGUAAGUCAGGGGUGAAAUCCCGGGGCUCAACCCCGGAACUGCCUUUGAUACUGGAAGUCUUGAGUAUGGUAGAGGUGAGUGGAAUUCCGAGUGUAGCGGUGAAAUUCGUAGAUAUUCGGAGGAACACCAGUGGCGAAGGCGGCUCACUGGACCA